rnacentral:rRNA from 1 species
UACGUAGGGGGGCAGAGUCGUUCGGAUUCGAUUGGAUGGCGUAAAGAGCGUGUAGGCGGUUCGGUAAGUCUGUCGUGAAAUCCUGAGGCUCAACCUCGGGCGUGCGAUGGAUACUGCCGGGCUAGAGGGUGGUAGAGGCGAGUGGAAUUCCCGGUGUAGCGGUGAAAUGCGCAGAUAUCAGGAGGAACACCAAUUGCGAAGGCAGCUCGCUGGAACGUAACCGACGCUGAGACGCGAAAGCGUGGGGAGCAAACAGG